AGAGUUUGAUCCUGGCUCAGGAUGAACGCUGGCGGCGUGGAUAAGGCAUGCAAGUCGAGUGGGUUUAGGCCCACGGCAAACGGGUUCGGAAUACAUAGGAAUUUCCCUCAGAGUCGUGAAUAAUUCGGAGAAAUCCGAGCUAAUACACGAUACGCUCUACGGAGUAAAGAUUUAUCGCUUUGAGAUGAGCCUGUGUCCUAUCAGCUUGUUGGUGAGGUAAAAGCCCACCAAGGCUAUGACGGGUAGGGGGUGUGAGAGCAUGACCCCCAACAUUGGAACUGAGACACUGUCCAAACACCUACGGGUGGCUGCAGUCGAGAAUAUUCCACAAUGGACGAAAGUCUGAUGGAGCGACGCCGCGUGCGGGAUGAAGGCCCUCGGGUUGUAAACCGCUUUUUUCAGGGAGCAAUUUCGAUGAGAGUACCUGAAGAAUAAGAGGUUACUAACUCUGUGCCAGCAGUAGCGGUAAUACAGAGACCUCAAGCGUUAUCCGGAUUUAUUGGGCGUAAAGCGCAGGUAGGCGGGUUUAUUAGUCGGAUGUCAAAGACCGGGGCUCAACUCCGGGAAGGCAUUCGAAACGGUAUACCUAGAGAAUGUGAGAGAUGAGUGGAAUUCAUGGUGUAGUAGUGAAAUGCGUUGAUAUCAUGAGGAACACCGAAGGCGAAGGCAACUCAUUGGCACAUUUCUGACGCUGAGCUGCGAAAGCGUGGGGAGCGAAUGGGAUUAGAUACCCCAGUAGUCCACGCUGUAAACGAUGCAUACUAGGUGCAGGGAGAAUCGACCCUUUCUGUGCCGUAGCUAACGCGUUAAGUAUGCCGCCUGGGAAGUACGAGCGCAAGCUUAAAACUCAAAGGAAUAGACGGGGAUCCGCACAAGUGGUGGAGCAUGUGGUUUAAUUCGACGGUAAGCGAGGCACCUCACCAGGGUUUGAAAUCUAGCUGCAGGGCCCAGAAAUGGGACGUCCUUCGAGGGUGCUAGACCAGGUGCUGCAUGGUUGUCGUCAGCUCGUGUCGUAAGAUGUUCCGUUCAGUCGGGAAACGAGCGCAACCCUCAUGAAGUGUUACAUGUGUCACUUCAGACUGCCCCCUCAAAAGGGGAGAAUACUCAGUUUGUAUUCUCAAUUUUUGAGGGGGAGGAAGGCGAGGAUGACGUCAACACGACGCUCUUCCGAUCUUUGAAGAUUGGAAUUUCCUUUGCUUGUUCGCAAGCAAGGAGCUGGGAGGAAGGAGGGGAUGACGUCAAAUCAGCAUGGCCCUUUGACACCCUGGGCGACACACGUGCUACAAUGGCCGAUAAUAAAGGGUUGCCAACCAGCGAUGGGGAGCUAAUCUCAAAAACUCGGUCUCAGUUCGGAUUGCAGGCUGCAACUCGCCUGCAUGAAGCUGGAAUCACUAGUAAUCGUGAAUCAGCCACGUCACGGUGAAUGCGUUCUCGGAUCUUGUACUCACCGCCCGUCACACCAAGAGAGCCGGCAAUACCAGAAGGCCCCGGGUUAAAUCGGGGACGACGGUAGGGUUGGUAAUAAGGGUGAAGUCGUAACAAGGCAUCCGUAGCGGAAGCUGUGGAUG
rnacentral:rRNA from 1 species